UGGAGGAAACUCUGAUGCAGCGACGCCGCGUGAGUGAAGAAGGUCUUCGGAUCGUAAAACUCUGUCCUUGGUGACGAAAAAAAUGACGGUAGCCAAGGAGGAAGCCCCGGCUAACUACGUGCCAGCAGCCGCGGUAAUACGUAGGGGGCGAGCGUUGUCCGGAUUUACUGGGCGUAAAGGGUGAGUAGGCGGUAAUAUGUGUCAGAUGUAAAAGGCUAUGGCUUAACCAUAGUUGGCAUUUGAAACUGUAUUACUUGAGUGCAGGAGAGGUAAGUGGAAUUCCUAGUGUAGCGGUGAAAUGCGUAGAUAUUAGGAGGAACACCAGUGGCGAAGGCGACUUACUGGACUGUAACUGACGCUGAGUCACGAAAGCGUGGGUAGCAAACAGGAUUAGAUACCCUGGUAGUCCACGCUGUAAACGAUGAGUGCUAGGUGUUGUGUAGCGAUAUUCAGUGCCGAAGUAAACACAAUAAGCACUCCGCCUGGGGAGUA
rnacentral:rRNA from 1 species